rnacentral:rRNA from 1 species
UUGCUGGCGACCGGCGCACGGGUGAGUAACACGUAUCCAACCUGCCGAUAACUCGGGGAUAGCCUUUCGAAAGAAAGAUUAAUACCCGAUGGCAUAAUUAGACCGCAUGGUUUGAUUAUUAAAGAAUUCCGGUUAUCGAUGGGGAUGCGUUCCAUUAGGCAGUUGGUGAGGUAACGGCUCACCAAACCUUCGAUGGAUAGGGGUUCUGAGAGGAAGGUCCCCCACAUUGGAACUGAGACACGGUCCAA